UUUGCAAUCCCUAGUUUUAGAACCUGUAACACUAUGCAUAUGGCGGCCUCUUCCUUCUCUCUUUCGUUCUCCUCUCCGUCGAAUCCCAUUUUAAUCAUUUCAGAAUCCAUUUUUGUCUAUGUUGCUUUGUCCACUACACUUUUACCCUCCAUCGCUGCUGCAUCUUCAACAGAAUCGAAGGUUCCAAGCCACACACGCGCCUUCUUCCUCACGCCAUGGAACCGCUUUCGCCGACGUUGUUUCCCUAUUGUCGAUGCCCCUAGCCUGUGCGACGAUCUCCGAUCCUCUUGUUCUCUAACGACACUCUUCUCCAGUGACAUCUCCUAUGGUGACGUCUUCUCCAACUUCCUCUCCUUGCCGUCCUAGAUCUGUGUCUUUUCCGCCAUCAGCGUCUCCCUUUCGUUCUGAAUAUUGAAGAUAUUUUGGAAUUAAAGAUAUCUAUAGCAGAAAAUAAAGACAUGUAUGAAUUAUAGCAUGAGAGUAAGUAAUGGAACGAAGACGUUGCAGCUUCUCGUGUAGUAGUGCUGCUCUCUUUUGCUCUCUAGAAACCAUGGGAAGAAACUAUCAAAGUUUCUGCUGUGGUCUGAGCGAUCGCCAUUCUCAACCUCAAUGCUGUCCAAGGAGGGUAGAAUAUGCUAUCCAAGUUGGUGCCACAAGAAGAACAAGUCAGAGGCUAGCGUGUUAGUUCAGCAUGUAGCAAUUGUCUGGUUUCCAUGUUGAGAAUAGACUCAAGGAAGAGGUUCUGAAGUGGGAAGAUGCAGAAAUCGGAGAGCCAAAAGAAGGCGAGGUGCGCACGAGGAACAAAGCCAUUGGCCUUAAUUUUAUCGAUGUCUACUUUCAGAAAGUUUAUAAAGCCCUCUCAUUUCCUUUCACCCCAGGUUUUUGGAGUUUAUUUACCUCUUAUCAAUUGAUCUGUCAUGAAACACUUAUGCCAAUGCCAAAAAAAAAAA